GAACAAUGGGUAACCAAAUGAGUGUUCCCCGAAGAGCUGAAGCCCAAGAGAAUGACCCGGAAGCAGACACGCACAAGGUCACAUCUGGGGAUGCGUGUGGUCAAAACGGCCUGCCGGCCAUCAUAUCUGGCAGCACCGUUCAACUCUACGAUGAAGUCGAUCUGGGAGUCAGCAUCCAGGAGGAUAAUGUGGCCGCUUCUUCCCCCGAGACAAUGGAGACCGGCGCGGCUGCAGAGGCCAACGGCGAGAGUCUUGGGAAGGAGGCCAAACCCCAGGCACCAGCUGCUAAAUCUCGCUUUUUCUUGACGCUCUCUCGGCCUGUACCAGGGCGUACCGGAGACCAAGCCACGGAUUCAUCCAGUAGGUCCGUGAGGCUUGAUGUCAGCUCCGAUAAAGCUCCAGGAAACAAAGACCCGAGUGAGCCCAUGGCCCUUCCGGUGGCAGCUGCACCCGGGCAUGGCCCGGAUAAAACCCCCGGGCAGACCCCGGCCCAGGCGGAGGGCCUCCCUGCCACCCCUGGGCCGGAGCACCCUCCGUCUGAGUCUGGGGCAGCAGCCCCCGCCAAGCCCAAGGACUCCAGCUUCUUUGACAAACUCUUCAAGCUGGACAAGGGACGGGACAGAGCCCCCGUGGACCUCCCACAGGAGGCUGAGAGCACAGAGCACCCUCACUCGGCCGCCGAAACUCCUGGGUUACCCACGCAGUCCGAGGAUGGCCCUGCAGAGAGGGACUUAGUUGACGGCAAGGGAAAGGGAGGACAGGAAGUCCCAGCUGUGAGCCGCUCCGUCCCCGGGGACCCUGAGCAACUGGAGAUUGCAAAGGAGGACGCCCAGGCAGAGAACAGUUCCAUCAUGAGCUUCUUUAAAACCCUGGUUUCGCCUAACAAAGCUGAAACAAAAAAAGAUACGGAAGACACGGCAUCUAAGGGAGAAAGUGUCUCUGAUGGACAAGCCGGGCAGAAGACAUCCGAGGUCCAGGCUAAAGGCGCCAAGAAAAAGCACCUGCAUAGCCCCAGGCUAGGACUCGCCUUCAGAAAAUUCUUUAGGCAUAAGGGAGAGGAAAAGUCAGCCGCCUCUUCAGCCAACCUCAAGUUAGACAAAGCCAACAUUACGCUCCAGGAGCCCCAGGGGGCCGCCAAGAAUUCGACAGCCACUGAAACAGCAAAGGAUGGUGCCAAGGAAAAAGGGGGCCCCAGCUCUCUGCCUCUGGGCAAACUGUUCUGGAAAAAGUCAGUUAAAGAGGAUUCAGUCCCCACAGGUGCAGAGGAGAAUGUGGUGUGUGAAUCACCAGUAGAGGCUGUAAAGUCCGAGGAAGUAGAAUCAGCCUUACAAACAGUGGAUCUCAGCGAAGAAGGAGCGCGCACUCCUGAGCCUGCAGAAGAAACACCCGGGAGAGAGGAACGCAAAGCCUCGAGGCCCUCCCUGAUGGCGCUCCUCAGACAGAUGUCAGUGAAAGGGGAUGGAGGGAUCACCCACUCUGAAGAAAUAGAUGGGAAAGACGCCAGCUACCAAACCUCGGACCCCACGGAGAAGGUGGUCUCUCCGCCACAGCCGGAAGCGGCAGCUGCGGGCCAGAAGGGCAAAGAAGGCCCGUCCAAGGGCAAGAAGGCCGCCGCGGAGCCCAACAAGCAGAAGGGCGACAAGCAGGAAGCCAAAGAGCCGGCCCCGGGCGUGGAGCCGGCCGCCGCGGAGGCGAACUCGCUGCCGAACGGGGACAAGCCCCAGAAGAGACCCGAGAAGCGGCGGCAGUCCCUCGGGGGCUUCUUCAAGGGCCUGGGACCGAAGCGGAUGCUGGAUGCUCAAGUGCAAACAGACCCCGUGUGCAUCGGGCCAGCGGGCAAAUCCAAGUGCACAUGGAAGUGUCUCCGUGGCCUUUGCAGGACCUGGGCUGUCGAGCUGAACUGGCCACCGUCAGGGAAAACCAACAACAACAACAGGGAAACGCUGCUUGCCAGAUCCAGCCAACGGCGACGUCUGGACUGA
rnacentral:lncRNA from 1 species